AGAAAGCAGGGGACCUUCGGGCCUUGCGCUAUCAGAUGAGCCUAGGUCGGAUUAGCUAGUUGGUGAGGUAAUGGCUCACCAAGGCGACGAUCCGUAACUGGUCUGAGAGGAUGAUCAGUCACACUGGAACUGAGACACGGUCCAGACUCCUACGGGAGGCAGCAGUGGGGAAUAUUGGACAAUGGGCGAAAGCCUGAUCCAGCCAUGCCGCGUGUGUGAAGAAGGUCUUCGGAUUGUAAAGCACUUUAAGUUGGGAGGAAGGGCAGUUACCUAAUACGUAAUUGUUUUGACGUUACCGACAGAAUAAGCACCGGCUAACUCUGUGCCAGCAGCCGCGGUAAUACAGAGGGUGCAAGCGUUAAUCGGAAUUACUGGGCGUAAAGCGCGCGUAGGUGGUUCGUUAAGUUGGAUGUGAAAUCCCCGGGCUCAACCUGGGAACUGCAUUCAAAACUGUCGAGCUAGAGUAUGGUAGAGGGUGGUGGAAUUUCCUGUGUAGCGGUGAAAUGCGUA
rnacentral:rRNA from 1 species